rnacentral:tRNA from 1 species
GGAUACAGCUCAGUUGGAAGAGUGCCUGCCUCACAUACAGAAGGCCCUGGGUUCAAUCCCCAGCACCAUCCA